rnacentral:rRNA from 1 species
CGCCAGGGGACUACGAGCGUUAGCUUAAAACCCAAAGGACUUGGCGGUGCCCUAUACCUCCUAGAGGAGCCUGUUCUAUAAUCGAUGAUCCACGUUUUACCUCACCGUUUCUUGCCAAACCCGCCUAUAUACCGCCGUCUCCAACUUACCCUAUGAAGGAUUCACAGUAGGUUUAAAGAUUACUCAUCAGAACGUCAGGUCAAGGUGUAGCGAAUGAAACGGGAAGAAAUGGGCUACAUUUUCUACCUUAGAUCACACGGAUAAUCACUAUGAAAUCUGAUUAUGAAGGAGGAUUUAGCAGUAAAAAGAAACCAGUAAGUUCUUUUUAAGUCGGACCUAGGGCGCGUACACACCGCCCGUCACCCUCUUCAACUCAUUUCACCAUAUUUCAUAAUAAAAUAACCGGAGAUAAGAAGAGGCAAGUCGUAACAUGGUAAGUAUACCGGAAGGUGUACUUGGAAC